rnacentral:rRNA from 1 species
UACAGAGGUCUCAAGCGUUGUUCGGAUUCAUUGGGCGUAAAGGGUGCGUAGGCGGCGCGGUAAGUCGGGUGUGAAAUCUCGGGGCUUAACUCCGAAACUGCAUUCGAUACUGCCGUGCUUGAGGACUGGAGAGGAGACUGGAAUUUACGGUGUAGCGGUGAAAUGACGUAGAUAUCGUAAGGAAGACCAGUGGCGAAGGCGG